rnacentral:rRNA from 1 species
AUUGAACGCUGGCGGUAUGCUUAACACAUGCAAGUCGAACGAUGAGAAAGAGCUUGCUCUUUCGAUUAGUGGCGGACGGGUGCGUAACGCGUAGGAAUCUACCUAUUAGUGGGGGACAACUUAGGGAAACUUAAGCUAAUACCGCAUACGCCCUACGGGGGAAAGAAGGGGAUCGCAAGACCUUUUGCUAAUAGAUGAGCCUGCGUAGGAUUAGCUAGUUGGUGGGGUAAAAGCUCACCAAGGCGACGAUCCUUAACUGGUUUGAGAGAAUGAUCAGUCACACUGGAACUGAGACACGGUCCGGACUCCUACGGGAGGCAGCAGUGGGGAAUAAUGGACAAUGGGCGAAAGCCUGAUCCAGCAAUACCGCGUGUGUGAAGAAGGCCUUAGGGUUGUAAAGCACUUUCAAUUGGAAGGAAAACCUCGAAGCUAAUACCUUCGAGUUUGACAUUACCUUUAGAAGAAGCACCGGCUAACUCCGUGCCAGCCGCCGCGGUAA